GAUGAACGCUGGCGGCGUGCCUAAUACAUGCAAGUCGAGCGAACGGACGAGAAGCUUGCUUUUCUGAUGUUAGCGGCGGACGGGUGAGUAACACGUGGAUAACCUACCUAUAAGACUGGGAUAACUUCGGGAAACCGGAGCUAAUACCGGAUAAUAUUUUGAACCGCAUGGUUCAAAAGUGAAAGACGGUCUUGCUGUCACUUAUAGAUGGUUCCGCGCUGCAUUAGCUAGUUGGUAAGGUAACGGCCUACCAAGGCAACGAUGCAUAGCCGACCUGAGAGGGUGAUCGGCCACACUGGAACUGAGACACGGUCCAGACUCCUACGGGAGGCAGCAGUAGGGAAUCUUGCGCAAUGGGCGAAAGCCUGACGGAGCAACGCCGCGUGAGUGAUGAAGGUCUUCGGAUCGUAAAGCUCUGUUAUUAGGGAAGAACAGAUGUGUAAGUAACUGUGCACAUCUUGACGGUACCUAAACAGAAAGCCACGGCUAACUUCGUG
rnacentral:rRNA from 1 species